rnacentral:rRNA from 1 species
GAGUUUGAUCGUGGCUCAGGAUGAACGCCGGCGGUGUGCCUAAUACAUGCAAGUCGUACGCACUGGCCCAACUGAUUAAUGGUGCUUGCACCUGAUUGACGAUGGAUCACCAGUGAGUGGCGGACGGGUGAGUAACACGUAGGUAACCUGCCCCGGAGCGGGGGAUAACAUUUGGAAACAGAUGCUAAUACCGCAUAACAACAAAAGCCACAUGGCUUUUGUUUGAAAGAUGGCUUUGGCUAUCACUCUGGGAUGGACCUGCGGUGCAUUAGCUAGUUGGUAAGGUAACGGCUUACCAAGGCGACGAUCAGUAGCCGGACUGAGAGGUUGGCCGGCCACAUU